UACAGAGGUCCCAAGCGUUAAUCGGAAUUACUGGGCGUAAAGCGUGCGCAGGCGGUGAUGUAAGACAGAUGUGAAAUCCCCGGGCUCAACCUGGGAACUGCAUUUGUGACUGCAUAGCUAGAGUACGGUAGAGGGGGAUGGAAUUCCGCGUGUAGCAGUGAAAUGCGUAGAUAUGCGGAGGAACACCGAUGGCGAAGGCAAUCCCCCUGGACCUGUACUGACGCUCAUGCACGAAAGCGUGGGGAGCAAACAGG
rnacentral:rRNA from 1 species